rnacentral:rRNA from 1 species
AUUGAACGCUGGCGGCAGGCCUAACACAUGCAAGUCGAACGGUAACAGGAAGCUGCUUGCUGCUUUGCUGACGAGUGGCGGACGGGUGAGUUAUGUCUGGGAAACUGCCCGAUGGAGGGGGAUAACUAAUGGAAACGGUUGCUACUACCGCAUAACGUCGCAAGACAAAAGAGGGGGACCUUAGGGCCUCUUGCCAUCGGAUGUGCCCAGAUGGGUUUAGCUAGUAGGUGGGGUAACGGCUCACCUAGGCGACGAUCCCUAGCUGGUCUGAGAGGAUGACCAGCCACACUGGAACUGAGACACGGUCCAGACUCCUACGGGAGGCAGCAGUGGGGAAUAUUGCACAAUGGGCGCAAGCCGGAUGCAGCCAUGCCGCGUGUAUGAAGAAGGCCUUCGGGUUGUAAAGUACUUUCAGCGGGAAGGAAGGGAGUAAAGUUAAUACCUUUGCUCAUUGACGUUACCCGCAGAAGAAGCACCGGCUAACUCCGUG